GAAUGUGAGGGUGAUCUGGCCGUGCCAUCUGACAUCCCAUUGAUUACCAGGGUUGAUUCUACUGAAUUGGCUGGCUGGGGUGUGUGUGUGUGUGUUCCCUUCCUCUCUCACCACACCAUGUGUUCUGUGGAAGAGGACAACUUUCCCUGAAUAGAGACAGACCUGUCUUUGGUGGAGGUAGCUGCAUUCCCCUGUUAGAACCUCCAAACAAGCUCUCAAGGAGAAUUACCUGCCUCAUAAGUUCGCUGUGUGAAUUAACUAUAUAUAAAAAAGAGCUAUUGUAGUGUCUGAUAUCUGAGUAU
rnacentral:snRNA from 1 species